CCCUUGCGAAAGGGGAUGAACCUCAGCACUGUAGUCAUUACGGACAAAAUAAUUCCUCUCUCAGAAGGCGAGGUUGCGGCCGUGGCCCAGGCGUGGCGGUUCUCGGUGACGUAAGGCAGAUUAACCGUGAAAGCGACGCGGCGGGUCAUAGUGGAGGCGUCCCGCGACCAUACAGGAGGCAGGUCGGAGCGGCACGACAGACGGCCAGAUUUCACUGAGCGGCAGGCCAACUCAAGCAUGUCUGAUGGAAACCCAAACGAACUUCAAUUCGCUGGCAUCUGGCGUUUAUGAUGAUAGCAACAAACAUAAGCUAAAGCAUCUGUACUUCUACUCUGAUUCAAUGGCCCUCUGGUGGGUAACAUCAAGUUUUAGAUCUGAUGUAGGUAGCAUCUAGUACUUUGUAUCUAGUAGCUGAAUAAAUCUCCGAAGCUUGUGCACUGGGAGCCUUUUCCUGUGGUAUUAGCAAAUGUACACUGCUUGCCGCGUAGAAGACAUCCAUCUUUCUUUUUUCUUAUGAACAUGCAAAGGCGGAGGCAUGACGCGGCGUAGCAGUGCAGCCAGCGAGGGCGGCUCACUGCGGAAGCCAGGUUCACCGGCGGCUCGCACUUCGCUCGCAGACGGGCCACGGCUGAGGCGACUAAGGUGAUGGUGAGCGAUAGGGCGGGCCGCUCGCAGGCCGGAAUCAAGGCGAAGGUGCGGCGGCUCAUCCUCAAUGGAUCAAAGCCACGGGGCGAAGUCCGGCUCGGAGUAAUGGUUCAGAGACGAGGCCAAAUCCGGCUCAACGUGCGACAACGGACACCAGCGAAGCGGAGCUUGCUCUGGCUGCAACGUUCAAUGGUGGAGGCCGGCUCUCGGUGGCCGAGGCGGAUGAAGCAUGGCGGCUCAAUCCAUGGGGUGACUCGGAAAGAGGUACGACAGCUCGGCAUUGACCCGCCUUAUGCAAGGUAGGUGAGGCCCAAGGGCAGUUUGACAACAGCGGCUUAGAAUAGGUGAACCAGCGAAAUCUUGAGGAAUUUGAAACACUCACAGACAACAUGGCUCCUCCAGCUGCGACUUGUGAGAGAGUUCAUGUGGUAUUUUUAAGUCGUCAUCUGAGGAAUCAUCUUCUCCCACGAGAGAAAUCGGAGAGUAUUCAUGUGGCAUCCUGGACAUCGAGAGCUUGGCCUACUUAUUGAGCUGCUGCAACAAAAGGAACAUUCCACCACUUCCAAGCAUAAGGUCACGACAUUUGAGAUAUUUAUCAGCAUCAUCCCUCAGAGCCCAAAUAAUAUGUUCGCAAUCAUCCUCACUAAAAGCAGGCACGGAUGGGAUCAGCCCGGGCGGUGAAUGGAAUCUCGGAUACGGACGGCGGCUCGACGGGCGACGAGGGUCGCGAGGCGACUCAAUGCAGUAAGGGCGGCUCAACGCGGCCCCGAUUUGAAGGCAACCGCGGCAGCUCGCAGGCGGCAUCGGCCUUGACGCGCAGUUCCAGCAGUGGGGACGGCCGACUCAGGACAGAGGUGAUGUGAGGUCUGUCCAGCGGUUUGGAAUCGAGACUGCUCCGGCGAGGGCGAGCCGCAACAGCAGCUGAGGAGAUUCUCGGUGAAGAGAGGCGGCGGCUCGGCGAAGGCAUUGGCGACUUGAAGCAGAGGCAGCACAAGGCCGACACACUGGUGAGGGCGGCUCAAGUCAACGGGGGCGGGUUGCCCAGCCGGCUCAAGGCGUGGCGGCAGUGGCCGCAUGGGCGGCUCAAGGCGAGGCGCUUGGAGACGACGACGGCGACCGUUGGCUCAAGGCGAGGCCGGGGAGCCAGAGGAAUUUCGGGCCAGCUAGAGGCGCAGGGCAGCGGUGGCGGCCGAACACGGCGGGGCGACGGGUCAACGUUACUUGUGAUUGAGGCACAAUAGGGCGGCUUGAAACAGAUGCCGACUUGCAGUGGCGGAUCACGGUGGAAGCGGUGGCGGCUCAUAGGCGCGUCUCUGACAACGAGGACCGGCGGCUCGGCAGGGGCCGCGGCGGCUUGUGGAGGCAGGGCCAUAGACCAUGGCCAAUGUAGCGGUCAGAAACUGUAGUGGCGGCUUGGAGACGCAACAGCGACUUGAAGCGGCCGAAGCGACUCGGAGCAAGGCCGGGGCGACUCAACGACGGCGGCUCAACCCCAAGGUCAGUGGCUCAGCAGGCGCCUCGAAACAAGGCCACGGGUGCUGGAGGAGCCCGGGUCUCUGGCCGUAUCUGCUCCGUGUUGUAGUUUCCUUGGCCUCAGUCUAUCGUUGCAUACGUGGCCGGCCGUUGUGUUUAAUUUACUGAUUUGUGGAUUCGGUCUCCACUUGGACUGAACCUCAGGACCUGUCCUAGCAGUUUCCUUGUUUU